rnacentral:lncRNA from 1 species
CUCAAGGGGAGAAACAACCGCGUCCUGGGGCUGGAGCUCGAAGCGGCCAAGGCAAGAGAAGACACUGCCGCCCUCCCUCCCACAGACGGACCCAAUCCUGGGAUUACUCAGGAGGCAGACCUUAGUUUUCUUUUCGCAGCUCCUCACUCGCUCUCUCAAUACCCCCAAUUUCUUUUUGUCGGUUCCUGCUGCCCUGUUGUCCCUCCAUCUCCCACACUGUCCCUCUGGGCCUCAUCUUCCCCAUCCAGGCUCUCCUCUUCAUUCC